CAAGUCGAACGGAAAGGCUCCUUGCUUGCAAGGGGUACUCGAGUGGCGAACGGGUGAGUAACACGUGGGUGAUCUGCCUUGCACUUCGGGAUAAGCCUGGGAAACUGGGUCUAAUACCGGAUAGGACCAUGCUUUAGUGUGUGUGGUGGAAAGUUUUUUCGGUGCAAGAUGAGCCCGCGGCCUAUCAGCUUGUUGGUGGGGUAAUGGCCUACCAAGGCGACGACGGGUAGCCGGCCUGAGAGGGUGUACGGCCACAUUGGGACUGAGACACGGCCCAGACUCCUACGGGAGGCAGCAGUGGGGAAUAUUGCACAAUGGGCGCAAGCCUGAUGCAGCGACGCCGCGUGGGGGAUGAAGGCCUUCGGGUUGUAAACUCCUUUCGCUAGGGAAGAAGCCACUUGUGGUGACGGUACCUGGAUAAGAAGCACCGGCUAACUACGUGCCAGCAGCCGCGGUAAUACGUAGGGUGCGAGCGUUGUCCGGAAUUACUGGGCGUAAAGAGCUCGUAGGUGGUUUGUCGCGUCGUCUGUGAAAUCCCGGGGCUUAACUUCGGGCGUGCAGGCGAUACGGGCAUAACUAGAGUGCUGUAGGGGAGACUGGAAUUCCUGGUGUAGCGGUGAAAUGCGCAGAUAUCAGGAGGAACACCGAUGGCGAAGGCAGGUCUCUGGGCAGUUACUGACGCUGAGGAGCGAAAGCAU
rnacentral:rRNA from 1 species